rnacentral:rRNA from 1 species
GAUGAACGCUGGCGGCGUGCCUAAUACAUGCAAGUCGAGCGAACAGACGAGGAGCUUGCUCCUUUGACGUUAGCGGCGGACGGGUGAGUAACACGUGGGUAACCUACCUAUAAGACUGGGAUAACUUCGGGAAACCGGAGCUAAUACCGGAUAAUAUUUCGAACCGCAUGGUUCGAUAGUGAAAGAUGGCUUUGCUAUCACUUAUAGAUGGACCUGCGCCGUAUUAGCUAGUUGGUAAGGUAACGGCUUACCAAGGCAACGAUACGUAGCCGACCUGAGAGGGUGAUCGGCCACACUGGAACUGAGACACGGUCCAGACUUCUACGGGAGGCAGCAGUAGGGAAUCUUCCGCAAUGGGCGAAAGCCUGACGGAGCAACGCCGCGUGAGUGAUGAAGGUCUUCGGAUCGUAAAACUCUGUUAUUAGGGAAGAACAAACGUGUAAGUAACUGUGCACGUCUUGACGGUACCUAAUCAGAAAGCCACGGCUAACUACGUGCCAGCAGCCGCGGUAAUACGUAGGUGGCAAGCGUUAUCCGGAAUUAUUGGGCGUAAAGCGCGCGUAGGCGGUUUUUUAAGUCUGAUGUGAAAGCCCACGGCUCAACCGUGGAGGGUCAUUGGAAACUGGAAAACUUAAGUGCAGAAGAGGAAAGUGGAAUUCCAUGUGUAGCGGUGAAAUGCGCAGAGAUAUGGAGGAACACCAGUGGCGAAGGCGACUUUCUGGUCUGUAACUGACGCUGAUGUGCGAAAGCGUGGGGAUCAAACAGGAUUAGAUACCCUGGUAGUCCACGCCGUAAACGAUGAGUGCUAAGUGUUAGGGGGUUUCCGCCCCUUAGUGCUGCAGCUAACGCAUUAAGCACUCCGCCUGGGGAGUACGACCGCAAGGUUGAAACUCAAAGGAAUUGACGUGGACCCGCACAAGCGGUGGAGCAUGUGGUUUAAUUCGAAGCAACGCGAAGAACCUUACCAAAUCUUGACAUCCUUUGACCCUUCUAGAGAUAGAAGUUUCCCCUUCGGGGGACAAAGUGACAGGUGGUGCAUGGUUGUCGUCAGCUCGUGUCGUGAGAUGUUGGGUUAAGUCCCGCAACGAGCGCAACCCUUAAGCUUAGUUGCCAUCAUUAAGUUGGGCACUCUAAGUUGACUGCCGGUGACAAACCGGAGGAAGGUGGGGAUGACGUCAAAUCAUCAUGCCCCUUAUGAUUUGGGCUACACACGUGCUACAAUGGACAAUACAAAGGGCAGCGAAACCGCGAGGUCAAGCAAAUCCCAUAAAGUUGUUCUCAGUUCGGAUUGUAGUCUGCAACUCGACUACAUGAAGCUGGAAUCGCUAGUAAUCGUAGAUCAGCAUGCUACGGUGAAUACGUUCCCGGGUCUU